rnacentral:rRNA from 1 species
AGGACGAACGCUGGCGGCGUGCUUAACACAUGCAAGUCGAGCGGAAAGGCCUUUCGGGGUACUCGAGCGGCGAACGGGUGAGUAACACGUGAGUAAUCUGCCCAUCGCUUCAGGAUAGCCAUCGGAAACGGUGAUCAAUACUGGAUAUGACAUUCCUUCGCAUGUUGGGGUGUGGUAAAGUUUUUUCGGCGGUGGAUGUGCUCGCGGCCUAUCAGCUUGUUGGUGGGUAAUGGCCUACCAA